UCGGCUUACAGCAUCCGUCGGAGCUUCUCCUCUCUCCGCCUACGCGGUGCGAGUGUGCCGUGUGCGCCAGUGCGCCCGCAAGCCCGCAAGUUCGCGCUCCGCCACGCAGCCCAAGCUCUCUCUACCCGCGCGCUGAUCGGCCACGUUCGUCAGCCGGGCCCCACGGAAAAAGGCACCGGGGCCGCGCGCGAGCCGAGAGAAGAACAGGACGAUUUGUUAUUUAAAUUUUUGACUAAGUAGUAAAGAAAUCCACUAAAAAACGCAAAAAGAACCUAAGAAAGAAAAUUGUACGAACGGGCCGGGACGGGGCGAGGAACGUUAUCACACGCAAAACAUUAUCACACCGAUCUUACCGUUACGACGAUCAUCGUUCUUUUCUGUUCCGGGGGAUAAAGAAAGAUUACUGGUUUUCUCGAAAAAUACCGUUCGACGACGUGGUGUCGGCAAACAAGAACACUCGAACGCGCGCGCCUUCGACUGAAAUUAAGAAACGGUGACCACGAGUUCCGUCUUCAGGGAAUCUCCGGAGCUUGCAGUGACCGUGACCAACCAAGAAGAGGAUUUUACACGGACCGCCCUUCGAGUGCGCCGAGAAUUUUUCUAUGAACACCUUUCGAACACGUCUCGAACGCUUCUCUGCUUGGAAUCGGAAACACAGAUUAACGAAUGACGCCAUAGCUGACAGUUGGUCGGUGCGCAAAUAACGGGACACAAAAGGGGACAGCAUCUUCCGCAUCGCCACGGCAGCGUUCCUC